rnacentral:rRNA from 1 species
UUGCAGUUAAAAAGCUCGUAGUUGGAUUUCUGCGGGGGCGGGGCGGCCGGUUGCUUAUAGCAACUCGAGCUAGCACUUCCCCUGCAUCCUGCCGCGAACCGUGCUACCAUUAGUUUGGUGGCGCCGGGGAUCGGCUCGUUUACUUUGAGAAAAAUAGAGUGUUCAAAGCAGGCCACACGCCUUGAAUAAGUUAGCAUGGAAUAAUGAUAAAGGACUUCGGUUCUAUUUUGUUGGUGUUCGGGACUGAAGUAAUGAUUGAUAGGGACAGUUGGGGCGGUCCGUAUUCCAAAGCGAGAGGUGAAAUUCUUAGACCUUCGGAAGACGAACAGCUGCGAAAGCGUUCCGCAAGGAUGUUCCCUUUGAUCAAGAACGAAAGUUGGGGGAUCGAAGACGAUCAGAUACCGUCGUAGUCUCAACUAUAAACUAUACCAGCUAGGGAUCGGCCAACGUUUACUUACACCGACUUGGUCGGCACCUUAUGAGAAAUCAAAGCAUCUGGGUUCCGGGGGGAGUAUGGUCGCAAGGCUGAAACUU